AGCGGCGGACGGGUGAGUAACGCGUGGGUAACCUGCCUUAUACAGGGGGAUAACAGUUAGAAAUGACUGCUAAUACCGCAUAAGCGCACAGUACCGCAUGGUAGUGUGUGAAAAACUCCGGUGGUAUAAGAUGGACCCGCGUCUGAUUAGCCAGUUGGCGGGGUAACGGCCCACCAAAGCGACGAUCAGUAGCCGACCUGAGAGGGUGACCGGCCANAUUGGGACUGAGACACGGCCCAAACUCCUACGGGAGGCAGCAG
rnacentral:rRNA from 1 species